UUGUGAGGCAUCUCCGGGUAGGGCGCCAGCCUAAGUUCCUUGGAACAGGACGUCACAGAGGGUGAGAAUCCCGUGCUUGGCUGGCUGUCCCCGUCCACGUGAGGUGUCUUCGACGAGUCGAGUUGUUUGGGAAUGCAGCUCAAAAUGGGUGGUAAAUUUCAUCUAAAGCUAAAUAUUGGUGGGAGACCGAUAGCGCACAAGUAGAGUGAUCGAAAGAUGAAAAGCACUUUGAAAAUAGAGUUAAAAAGUACGUGAAAUUGUUGAAAGGGAAGCGCUUGAGACCAGACUUCGGUAGGGGGUGAUCAGCCGUCCUUCUGGGCGGUGCACUUGCCCCCCUCCGGGCCAGCAUCGGUUGAGGCGGCGGGAUAAAGGUCCCGGGAAUGUGGCUCCUUCACGGGAGUGUUAUAGCCCGGGUGAAUGCCGCCAGCCUCGACCGAGGACCGCGCCCGCAAGGGUUAGGAUGCUUGGCAUAAUGGUCUUCAGCGAC
rnacentral:rRNA from 1 species